UUUUAGAAAAUUUCAGCCAGUGGAUUGGCUCUUAACCGCAUGUCCGGCCGCUCCGUUCGAGGGUCGCUAUUCCAGUGGAAAAAUCGAAGGUCUGAGGUUAAUUGGACCGUCCACCGCACGAAGCCCAUGCCAUGUAUCAACCUCGCUCGACCCAUCUCCCCCCUUCCGCCGCAUACCUACCACUGCUCUCUCCUCGGUCGGCAUCUCCAAGGAGAGGACCAGACCGGUCGAUGGGGAGGCGAAGUUGAUGCAUCUACAGACGAAGCGGCGAUGUACUGUUGGGUGGAUGAUAAAUCCGGCAAUCAAUCUUCAGUUUCAGGAAGCAUUCAUGAUGAUUGAUGUGCGCCACUCACCAGCUGCAAUUAAAUGGAGUUAAGCAGCUGCUUUCUUGUCUGCAUGAAAGACGAUAUCAUUGAGGGAAUUUAUGAUACUUUCGGAAUGCGCUUCCAUGAGCAAAUCUGUGUCAAUUCACAAUGUUUGAGCUACUGGCAGUUACAUUUGAGGAACUAAUGGAAUUGCCCCCAUCCUGCGUGUUUUAGUGAUACUGCAUGUUGUGUUGAUCAAGGUGGAGGAAAGAGAAAAGGUAAGUAGCAUCAGUUCGUUGGACCCAAUUUACAUAUUCUUAAUGGUUCUAUCUUUUAGGUGCAUUUGCUAUAUAUUUGGAGCCUUGGCAUGCUGAUAUUUAUGAGUUCCUUGAUUUGAGAAAGAACCAUCGGAAGGUAAACAUUCUAGAAGUAAUACGUAACACACUUUCAGGCAGAGAUACCCGAAACUGAUUACCAGUUUGGAUUUACUUUUUUCGCACUGGAUCACCACCCUCAUGCUAUUGAUCUCUUUGUUCAUUUAUCAGGAACAGUAAUUUGCAAUGGGAAAAUCAUUUUAAUUAAUCUGAAUCAAUUGUUUAUGUACAAUUAGUUGUUCAUGUUUUUUUUUAUUAUCUCCUGUAUUUUAGUUGUUCAAGUGCUCCAUAUCUGCUUGUCCACUGUAUAUUGUAAGAGGGUGAUAACAAGAGUGGAUCUCUCAAGCUAAAUUAGGCUUGAUGCUUCACACCCGCCGAUACAAUUUGUUUGGUUUGGUAAGGCCCUGAAGCAUUUUACAAACUACAGUUACAAAAUUAAUAUUGGCUUUGUUUUCUAUUCUUUUCGUAGCCAUCAACUUGUCAGAAUCAUUCAAACAAAAGAAACAUUCUUUGGCCUACAAGGAAUAGUAAUUGAUAGAAUAUGCAUGGUUCAUGAAUCGUGAUAAGCGACACCUAUUAUCAACCAUUGCUGUUAAAUUUGAGCAUCAAUGAGAAAUAAGGUGACAUUGCCAAAGUGCAGAGUUUUUCCAAUUCCUCUUUAAUUACUUCUGGUCACCAACCAUUUGGUUUUAAAGUGCGAAAUAUUGCAUUGGGGAUAUCCCUUGUGUAACCGGAGAAUAUUUUGUCAUAUGAGUAGUUAUUUUUAUUCCAAACCAUGCAAUUAGAGGAUUCAGAAUUCCUCGCCAGGGAGACCCUGUUUAUGUCCAUGCUAUUAAUUCUCUUGCUAUUAACGUCUAAGAGAACUUCUCUUGCCGGAAGGGGCAGAGCUAGAAAUUUUAUUAAUGGGGGGCCAAUGAAACAUGUAAAGCAUCAAAGGGGCCAUCCAUAAGAAUUUAGACAUCAAAUUCAUUAACUCACAUAGUAUUUUGGGGUAGCUUGAGAAACUUUUGCAGUGUGGGGGGAGCCAUGGCAGGGCACUUUCGCUCAAUUUUUUUUUACAGCAGGGCACCCACGAGCCGCUCGGUCUGAACCGAGCCAGAGCCAAGACGAGCCGAGCCUCCAAAAGCAGGCUCGUUCGACCACCGAGCCGAGCCGAGCUUAGCUCGUUCAUGGCGAGUCAAAGGCAGGCUCGGAUCAAGCUCGCUCGGCUCGUGUCCAGCCCUAGCCCUAGCCCCAGCUCACUCUCGUUUUUGGCAUAUUACUGGGACUUUGGAGAUAAACAACAUACUGCUUAACAUUCUUUAGGGAUCAUAAGCGAUCUAUGGCAAAGACAUAUGCCUAAUUGUAGAAUCGUGCAGAUCACUGAUACUAGAAGGGCUUUGAGGCCAUGAUUAAGUUGGAAUUUGGUUUUACUUUCUGUGUUAUAUUUCCCAUUUUCAUUACAGGAUUUCACUCCUAUUACGUUUAUUUUUUUAGCAUGGCCUUUUAUCUACUACAUUUCAUGUAGUAAAUAAUGUUUCUGGCCAAAACAUCACCCCUGCAGACAUCUAAUUAGAAGCUUGGAACAUAGAAAUAAGACUUACCCUUCAAUAACUUGGUAGGUGUCAACUUGUUUGGAAGCUACCUUCAUGCAUAUAAUAAAGAUGAGGUACUCUGGUUUUUUCUUAUCGAGUUGGCGUUAAUGCACGAUUAAGAUGGGGAUGAUGCCUGUAGUGUAGUGGAGCCUGUUGCUGAAGAGAAUUGUACGUGGAGCUUCUUAAAUGUGUAGUGUUGUGACUCGGGGAAGUUUUAGUAGGACCUAUGCUAAUUUGUAGUCAAAUUGCUUUUAUAUUUUGUGCUUAUGUUUUAUUAUAGCUAGCACCAAACAAUUAUAGUGUUUAUUAAGCGAUUUCCUUCUGACUUUGCUGUUUUUGAAGAUUUAGUAUGUUCAACCUGAUGCCGGUUAGGACACAGACCAUUAUGAUGCAUCAAGUAUUGGAUUGAGAAAUCUGUGCCAUGUUUUGUCAAAAUAAAAUGAAUGGCUAUAUUGUUCUUCUUGAAAUACAAUAGAAAGAUGAAAUGCCUUUAUAACCAUCAUAUAUUUGUGGAAAUUACUACCAUUCUCAUGGAAAAAUGGACAGACGCAGCAACGUGCGCCAUCAAUGAUCUAGUAAUAUGUAUGGACGAGUAUUCUCUCACUUAAGCACAUUACACAGUUCUACAGAAUUCCGCGUUGGUGGCUCUGUAUAUGGAGGAACACAAGAAUUUUCUAUGCUCCAAACACACUGGAUUACACGUGAACAAAUAGGGACUUUCGCCGGUUGGUUGCAGACAUGUGCCAUGCAUGACGCCGCUAUCAAAGAUGACAUGUACUUGUUGUCCUAGUUACCAUCUUUGAAUAUAAUGACUUUCAAAGGGUACAAGAUAAAUGGGAAUACAUUUUACAUGAUCGCCCAAGAUAAGAAGAGCACCAACCAAAACAGUGGUGUCUGCUUUGAUGCAGCAACCAAGAUUGAGAAGGACACAUAUUAUGGUUACAUAGAGGACAUAUGGUUACUUGACUAUGGGCGUGGGUUGAAGGUCUCUUUGUUUCGAUGCAAAUGGGUCAAUAUGACACGAGGCAGGGUAACGGAAGACCCGCAGUACGGAAUGACAACAGUGGAUCUCAACAAUCUUGCAUACGCAGACGAACCAUUUGCCCUAGCCAAUGAUGUAGUGCGAGUUUUCUAUGUGAAGGACAUAUCUAUCAAGCCGAGAAAAAGAAAAGAUAAGAAAGCGAAUACAUCAUACGAUGAGCCAAAGUGUCACAUAGUUCUUUCAGGGAAAAGAAACAUCGUGGGAGUGGAUGACAAGACAGACAUAUCAGAAAAUUAUAAAAAGUUUGAUGAGAUUGCUCCAUUCAGAGUGAAUAUUGACCCGAGCAUCCAGUUAAAUGAUGAAAAUUGUCCAUGGUUACAGCGCAAAGGGACACACGCGAAGAAAAAGUUUCACAUCCAAAGAUCCCACUCUGGGAUGUGAUCGGCUUCACUGUCACCGCUUUCUUCUCUAGUAAGUUUUCAGACUUGUAUAUGUUUGUAAUAGUUAGGGUGCUUAUGUGUUUUGGCACUUGAAACGUGUACUUUUGUGCU